GACGAACGCUGGCGGCGUGCUUAACACAUGCAAGUCGAACGGAAAGGCCCUGCUCUUGUGGGGUGCUCGAGUGGCGAACGGGUGAGUAACACGUGAGUAACCUGCCCUUGACUUUGGGAUAACUUCAGGAAACUGGGGCUAAUACCGGAUAGGAGCUCCUGCUGCAUGGUGGGGGUUGGAAAGUUUCGGCGGUUGGGGAUGGACUCGCGGCUUAUCAGCUUGUUGGUGGGGUAGUGGCUUACCAAGGCUUUGACGGGUAGCCGGCCUGAGAGGGUGACCGGCCACAUUGGGACUGAGAUACGGCCCAGACUCCUACGGGAGGCAGCAGUGGGGAAUAUUGCGCAAUGGGCGGAAGCCUGAUGCAGCAACGCCGCGUGCGGGAUGACGGCCUUCGGGUUGUAAACCGCUUUCGCCUGUGACGAAGCGUGAGUGACGGUAAUGGGUAAAGAAGCACCGGCUAACUACGUG
rnacentral:rRNA from 1 species